rnacentral:lncRNA from 1 species
ACGUUAGAACACUUCCAUUGUUCCACAUCGCUGCCAACACUUGGAACCAAUAAAGCAUUGUCAGGUGCUUUAUUUUUAGUCAUUCUGGUGGGUGUGUAGAGGUAGCUCAUUGUAGCUUUAAUUUGCAUUUCCCUGCUGAGUAAUGAAAUUGAACAUCUCUUCAUUUGCAUAUCAGCCUUUUGGAGGGUUGAUGAUGCUCUUAAGCCCUGUAGAUUAGAGAACCAGCUGCAGAUGAGCUUCCCUGAGGCUCUGUUCUCCUAGAACCACCAUCAGUCAGGACCUGAUUAUCAGUAGGCUGAAUAACGACCCCCAAAUAUAUUCAGGUAUGCGAUGGUCUCAAUGUUUGUAUCCCCUCUGAAAUUCACAUACUGAGGCCAAGAGCAGUGGCUCACGCCUGUAAUCCCAGCACCUUGGGAGGGCAAGGCAGGAGGAUCGCCUGAGCCCAGGAAUUCAAGGUCAGCCUGGCUAACAUAGUAAGAUCCCUAUCUCUACAAAAAAAUUAGCCAGGCAUGGUGGGAUGCACCUGAAGUCCCAGACACUUGGGAGGCUGUGGUGGGAAGAUUACUUGAGCCUGGGAGGUUGAGGUUGCAGUGAUCUGUGACUCCAGCCUGGGCAACAGAGAGAGACCCUGUCUCUAGAAAAAACCCCCAAAAUUCAUAUAUGGAAAUCCCAACCCCCAAGGUGAUGGUAUUAGGAGGUGGGACCUGCGGGAGGUGAUUGGGUCAAGAGGGCAAAGUACACAUGAAUAGGAUUAGUGCCCUUAUAAAACAGGCCAUAGAGAGAGCCCUUGCCUCUUCCACUCUGUAAGAACACAGGGAGAAGACCUCCUCUAUGAGGAAGCAGGGCCCUUAUCAGACAGCGAAUCUGCCAGCACCUUGAUCUUGAAUGUCCCAGGCUUUACUACUGUGAGAAAUAAAUUUUUUAAACCUCCCAGUUUAUGGUAUUUUGUUCUAGCAGCCUGAAUAGACUAAGACAGCAACCCAAUCCCUGGAACCUAUAAAUGUUAUGUUAUACAAAAGAAGCGUCUUUGCAGAUGUAAAUUAAUGAUUUUUUUUUUUUUUUUUGGAGAUGGAGUCUCGCUCUGUCGCCCAGGAUGGAGUGCAAUGGCACAAUCUCAGCUCACAGCAACCUCCACCUCCCAGGUUCCAGCAAUUCUCCUGCCUCAGCCUCCCAAGUAGCUGGGAUUACAGGCACGCACCACCACACCUGGCUAAUUUUGGUAUUUUUAGUAGAAACAGGGAUUCGUCAUGUUGGCCAGGCUGGUCUCGAACUCCUAACCUCAGGUGAUCCAUCUGUCUCGGCCCACCAAAGUGCUGGGAUUACAGGCAUGAGCCACCGCGCCUGGCCAAGUUAAUGGUUUUGAGAUGAGAUUAUCCUGGACUACCUGGUAAGCCAUAUAUGCUGUCACAAGUGUCCUUAUAAAUUAGAGGCAGAGGGAGGUUGCACACAGAAGAGGAGAAGGCAAAAUCACUCCAGAGGCAGAGAUUGGAGUGAUGCAGCCACAAGCCAAGGAAUGCUGGCAGCCUCCAGAAGCCAGGAGAGGCAAUGAAUGGCUCCCCCGAGCCUCCAGAAGGCAGGCAGUCCUUCCGCUCCUUUGACUCCAGCCCAGUGAAACUGAUUUUAGACUCUGGCC